GAUGAACGCUGGCGGCGUGCUUAACACAUGCAAGUCGAACGGACAUGCCCUGCUUUUGUGGGGUGCUCGAGCGGCGAACGGGUGAGUAACACGUGAGUAACCUGCCCUUGACUUUGGGAUAACUUCAGGAAACUGGGGCUAAUACCGGAUAGGAGCUCCUGCUGCAUGGUGGGGGAUGGAAAGUUUCGGCGGUUGGGGCUGGACUCGCGGCUUAUCAGCCUCUUGGUGGGGUAGUGGCUUACCAAGGCCUCGACGGGUAGCCGGCCUGAGAGGGUGACCGGCCACAUUGGGACUGAGAUACGGCCAAGACGGCUACGGGAGGCAGCGGUGGGGAAUAGUGCGCAAUGGGCGGAAGCCUGGUGCAACAACGCCACGUGCGGGAUGACGGCCUUCGGGUUGUAAACCGCUUUCGCCUGUGACGAAGCGUGAGUGACGGUAAUGAGUAAAGAAGCACCGGCUAACUACGUG
rnacentral:rRNA from 1 species